GACAGAGGGUGCAAACGUUGCUCGGAAUUACUGGGCGUAAAGCGCGUGUAGGCUGACCGGAAAGUCGGGCGUGAAAGCCCUGGGCUCAACCCAGGAACUGCACUCGAAACUCCCGGUCUAGAGUGGUGGAGAGGGAAGUGGAAUUCCUGGUGUAGAGGUGAAAUUCGUAGAUAUCAGGAGGAACACCAGUGGCGAAGGCGGCUUCCUGGACACCAACUGACGCUGAGACGCGAAAGCGUGGGAGCAAACAGG
rnacentral:rRNA from 1 species